CCUACGGGUGGCAGCAGUGAGGAAUAUUGGUCAAUGGGCGGAAGCCUGAACCAGCCAAGUCGCGUGAGGGAAUAAUGCCCUACGGGUCGUCAACCUCUUUUGCCGGGGAGCAAGGGCGAGGACGUAUCCCGGCCCGGAGAGUACCCGUAGAAAAAGCAUCGGCUAACUCCGGGCCAGAGGCCGCGGUAAUACGGAGGAUGCGAGCGUUAUCCGGAUUUAUUGGGUUUAAGGGGUGCGUAGGCGGGCGUUGAGGUCAGCGGUAAAAAUUCGGGGCUAAACCCAGUCCGGCCGUUGAAACUGGGGGCCUUGAGUGGGCGAGAAGAAGGCGGAAUGCGUGGUGUAGCGGUGAAAUGCAUAGAUAUCACGCAGAACCCCGAUUGCGAAGGCAGCCUUCCGGCGCCCUACUGACGCUGAGGCACGAAAGUGCGGGGAUCGAACAGGAUUAGAUACCCCGGUAGUC
rnacentral:rRNA from 1 species